rnacentral:rRNA from 1 species
GACGAACGCUGGCGGCGUGCUUAACACAUGCAAGUCGAACGGAAAGGCCUCUUUCGGGGGGUACUCGAGUGGCGAACGGGUGAGUAACACGUGAGUAACCUGCCCUUGACUUUGGGAUAACUUCAGGAAACUGGGGCUAAUACCGGAUAGGAGCUCCUGCUGCAUGGUGGGGGGUGGAAAGUUUCGGCGGUGGGGGAUGGACUCGCGGCGUAUCAGCUUGUUGGUGGGGUAGUGGCUUACCAAGGCUUUGACGGGUAGCCGGCCUGAGAGGGUGACCGGCCCCAUUGGGACUGGGAUACGGCCCAGACUCCUACGGGAGGCAGCAGUGGGGAAUAUUUCACAAUGGGUGGGAGCCUGAUGCAGCAACGCCGUGUGCGGGAUGACGGCCUUCGGGUUGUAAACCGCUUUCGCUCAUGACGAAGCUUUGUGUGACGGUAGUGGGUAAAGAAGCACCGGCUAACUACGUG